rnacentral:rRNA from 1 species
AUGAACGCUGGCGGCGUGCCUAAUACAUGCAAGUCGAGCGAACGGACGAGAAGCUUGCUUCUCUGAUGUUAGCGGCGGACGGGUGAGUAACACGUGGAUAACCUACCUAUAAGACUGGGAUAACUUCGGGAAACCGGAGCUAAUACCGGAUGAUAUUUUGAACCGCAUGGUUCAAAAGUGAAAGACGGUCUUGCUGUCGCUUAUAGAUGGAUCCGCGCUGCAUUAGCUAGUUGGUAAGGUAACGGCUUACCAAGGCAACGAUGCAUAGCCGACCUGAGAGGGUGAUCGGCCACACUGGAACUGAGACACGGUCCAGACUCCUACGGGAGGCAGCAGUAGGGAAUCCUCCGCAAAGGGCGAAAGCCUGACGGAGCAACGCCGCGUGAGUGAUGAAGGUCUUCGGAUCGUAAAACUCUGUUAUUAGGGAAGAACAUAUGUGUAAGUAACUGUGCACAUCUUGACGGUACCUAAUCAGAAAGCCACGGCUAACUACGUG